AAUAUCUUUGAACGUGUUAAAGAUUCAAUCUUUAUUAAAGUUAAAGAAUACGGUAAAUUUACAGGACGUCUUGUUCAAUUACAACAAGAUAUUA
rnacentral:tRNA from 1 species